rnacentral:tRNA from 1 species
GGAGGUAUAGCCCAGUUGGUUAGAGCGCUACCUUGACAUGGUAGAGGCCAUAAGUUCGAGCCUUAUUAUCUCCACCA